rfam:Escherichia coli str. K-12 substr. MG1655, complete genome.
GUUUCCGUGUCCAUCCUUGUUAAAACAAGAAAUUUUACGGAAUAACCCAUUUUGCCCGACCGAUCAUCCACGCAGCAAUGGCGUAAGACGUAUUGAUCUUUCAGGCAGUUAGCGGGCUGCGGGUUGCAGUCCUUACCGGUAGAUGGAAAUAUUUCUGGAGAGUAAUACCCAGUCUGUUUCUUUGAUAAUUGCGCUGUUUUUCCGCAUGAAAAACGGGCAACCGACACUCUGCGCCUCUUUGAGCUGACGAUAACCGUGAGGUUGGCGACGCGACUAGACACGAGGCCAUCGGUUCACACCCGGAAAGGCGUUACUUUGCCCGCAGCUUAGUCGUCAA